rnacentral:rRNA from 1 species
GAUGAACGCUGGCGGCGUGCCUAAUACAUGCAAGUCGAGCGAACGGACGAGAAGCUUGCUUCUCUGAUGUUAGCGGCGGACGGGUGAGUAACACGUGGAUAACCUACCUAUAAGACUGGGAUAACUUCGGGAAACCGGAGCUAAUACCGGAUAAUAUUUUGAACCGCAUGGUUCAAAAGUGAAAGACGGUCUUGCUGUCACUUAUAGAUGGAUCCGCGCUGCAUUAGCUAGUUGGUAAGGUAACGGCUUACCAAGGCAACGAUGCAUAGCCGACCUGAGAGGGUGAUCGGCCACACUGGAACUGAGACACGGUCCAGACUCCUACGGGAGGCAGCAGUAGGGAAUCUUCCGCAAUGGGCGAAAGCCAGACGGAGCAACGCCGCGUGAGUGAUGAAGGUCUUCAGAUCGUAAAACUCUGUUAUUAGGGAAGAACAUAUGUGUAAGUAACUGUGCACAUCUUGACGGUACCUAAUCAGAAAGCCACGGCUAACUACGUG